rnacentral:pre_miRNA from 1 species
AUUUUAGUAUAAGCAUGUUCUAUGAAAUAUUUGGAACGUACUUAUACUAAAA